rnacentral:tRNA from 2 species
GCGAGAAUAGCUCAGCUGGUAGAGUACGAGCUUCCCAAGCUCGGGGUCGCGGGUUCGAGUCCCGUUUCUCGCUCCA